ensembl:lncRNA
GCUGAUAGUCCUUUAGCUGUCUUUGGGUUUGAUGAGGGUUAGCUAGUUGAGUUGUUUUCACUCAGGUACACGUUGAGGGACAGGAGGUGAAGGCAAGUACCUGCUCUUGUGCUAUCGGGAGGGCCAAGUGUCACCAUGUAGCAGCCCUGCUGAUUUGGGCUGAAAAGAACCUAACCCGCACGGAUGUCGAGUUUGUGUGGAAGAGGGCCCCAGCACCCCAAACAGAUGAGGUCACAGCGAAGAGGGUGUCUGUGAUUGCACCUUCCACAUCUCAAGCUGGAAUUAAACAACCUGUCACCCAGGAGGACAGAGAAUGGACACUGAACUCCUUGGCACAGCUUGGCCGUUUUACAGGUCUGGGUUGGAUUCUGGCACCAGAAACACCUCAGACCGUCCCUAUCCAGACCUUUGAUGGGGUAGUGACCAGCUCAGGUUAUGGCAAUACAGAGGACAAAGCUCUGUAUGUGCUUUCAUCGCUUGCUGUCAGCCCACAAGAGAAAGAAGCCAUUGAGAGAGCCACAGUUGGGCAAACUAAGAAUGCCUUAUGGAUGGCAUAUCGCCACAAAAUAAUCACAGCAAGCAACUUCGGUUUGGUGUUGGCAGCAUUGAAGCGGAACUCUUACCCUCCUUCCUUAUUCAAAACCCUGCUUGGCCAAUACAACCUCAAACAAGUGUUUUGAAUUGAAGCAUACUUCCAUAUUAUACAUAUAAUUGUAUGCAUUUGAAAAUACAUG